UACGUAGGGUGCGAGCGUUGUCCGGAAUUACUGGGCGUAAAGAGCUCGUAGGUGGUUUGUCGCGUUGUUCGUGAAAUCUCACGGCUUAACUGUGAGCGUGCGGGCGAUACGGGCAGACUAGAGUACUGCAGGGGAGACUGGAAUUCCUGGUGUAGCGGUGGAAUGCGCAGAUAUCAGGAGGAACACCGGUGGCGAAGGCGGGUCUCUGGGCAGUAACUGACGCUGAGGAGCGAAAGCGUGAGGAGCGAACAGG
rnacentral:rRNA from 1 species